CCCAUCAUUACCUCAGCCAAAACGCUGGGAGCUGGCGAAGGUCACGCAGUUCAAGACCAUGGAGUUCGCCGCUACAUAGAGGAGUUAGCGCGUAGCAUCCCGCUCCCGCCGCUGAUCAUGAACUGCCGCACCUUCAUGGAGGAGAUCCUCGAGGUCGUCGGCGUGGAGGAAAUGAGACACACCUUCGUCCGACAAGCACCCGAGCUUCACGAAGGCCCCGGCGGAGUGGUCGUCAGCACUUCCAGGGACGUUUUCUCAAUCUUGCACGAGAGAGAGCGGGCGAGGGAGAGGGAACGCAGCGAGUCUCCGGCCGCGGACUCGGACGACGCGUCGCUUCACGAGCAGCCUCGACACAUGGCCAUUCAGGUUUCCAUUCAUCCGCCGCUAGCCGACGCUGGGUGCUGUAACAUGGAAGCUCCGCCUCUUCCCGAAGUGGUUUCUCCACCGCCUGUCGAUCAGCUGCCUUUGGAGGCGGAGUCUGAAGAGAAGGAAAUCAAGGCGGAGUCUGUCGAAGAGGAGGGCGUGACGACGCAGAAUACCCAAGUCAUUUACGAAAGCCAUGUGUAAUAUCUUAAACUAAGGGUAAUGAGCUCGCUAUGCAUUCUCUUGGGAAAGAAAAAAGGUCAAGAUUUGAUUUUCUUAGAAGUUGCAUUUGUGUUAGUGUGAAUCUCUCAAAACUUAAAAAAAAGAGUGUCAGGGUCGUAUUUCGUCGUAAAAUCAAUCGAAAAGAGAAAUAAAAUAAAGCUUUUAUGUUGUAACUCAUUUCAGUUUAGCAAUUUAAACCCCGCUAUUGUAAUGCAAUACGUGUUUUUCUCAUUACUGUACAUUUAAAAUAUAGACAUCAUGCUUGUGUUUGAAUCAAUUUACAAUUGAUGCUGAUUAAACAGAAUUAUUGUCAGUGCAAUAAUUAUGCGGAUAUAAAUCAAAGGGUAUUUGCAUUAUAUAGUGUAAUGAGAUUUUCUUCUUUUUUUGCAUUACGGUAAAGAUAAUUUGGGGACUAAAUUCGAUUAAAAUGACGUUCACAAUCCCAAAAAAUUAUUCAUGUUCUUAAAAAUGUAAUUUUCCGUUUUGGAAAAAAACCAAACAUUCUUUUUGGUUUUGGGGUGAAAUAUUACCUUCUCACUUCUUUUGAGUUUGACUUGUUAAAUUGUUCUUCCCAAUGACAAUGAAUACUCAUGCUGAAUGUAUUUUGAGGCAAAGUUCUCGGUUGAUUUCAAAAUCCUGGUUUGCCCAUGGAUUAUUUCUGUCUUGUGUAGUUAAUAGAAACUACACAAAGUUCACAUCUUGUGUCUUAAUCGACAGACAGGAAGUAGUUUUACUGUUGGAUGUUGUUACAGAUUGUCCACUUCAUGAAUGAAUGAAUGAAUGAGAACGGACGACUGAUUAAUGCAUUUGGCUGAAAGAAAAACACAAACCAUUUGAGGCUGUAGUGCAUUUUCCAUUUAAUAGAAAUCAAACAUUUUUCACUAAAGAUUAAAUUAUGAUUUUUGCUUCCUCUUACAAUGCAUGAAGAAUGCAUGUCAAUCUUUUCUCAAUGCUGGAUUUGGAGAGACUUUGUGUGUUAUUUAUCCUUUGUGUCAUGUUGGCCAGGUAAAUGGCAUCGACACCUUGAAUAACAUUGAGAAAUCUCAGUUUUGAGGCAUUCGACUUUCCACUGGAGUCCUUGUACUGUUACUGUAAUUAAACAUAGUAUUAUUACUUUAUUAGUAAGUGUUUUAGUCUCAAAUGCACAACUUGGUGUCUUUUUCUUUCUUUCCUAAGAGUAAACUGUUGCAGGCGUCUUUGUUUCAUUUGAAACUCUACAUAACAGAGUCUUGACGAUGUUUAAUCUCCUGUAAUUUCCCAAACCCAUAGUUUUGCUUCUUAAAAAGGCUUUACCUCUUAGUUUCAGUGCAAACGUGUUCUAGUUCUUCAAUGUUGCUGAUCUUGCUUUGUUGGACGUCUAACGCCGGAGUGACCUGCAGUUUGUCCAACGCACUGAUGGUAACAUCUAAGCACUAGUCAUUCAGAUUGUUCCUGGAAACGAUGGCCAUUAUACUCUUCAAAACGCUGUUUAAGUAGUGAAAUAAAGCUGCUGUUGUACCAAUGAUGUUCUGUGUGUUUGCCUUCAUUCGGGUGAGGAGCUUUUGUAUCAUCCAAAUCUCUCUCUUCAUAGACGCUUGCUGAUCUCAGUGCCUUGCAGAUCAUUUUAUUUUCUCAGAUCCUUGCCUCACAAAUACAUUUUUGUUGUCUAGUGUGUGUGUUUUUUUUAUACCACUCAAACGUUUUGAAUUAUAGUAGAUUGUGUUUGAGUGUUCGAAUAAAGGUUUUCAGUUAAAAUGCUGCGGUAAAUUGUGUUAGAUAUAUAUAUAUAUAUAUGCUACUGUUAAAAUGCAUGAAUAAACUGCUGUAGACAUUU